GAAGAAGCAGAACAACCGGGUGGACCUGACACGUAGUUUGCUGUCCCGAUGACUGCAUGCUGAGAGACUGGAGGAUGAGACAUGCAAUCAGUAUUUCCAGCUCAAGUGUGAACGAAUCCAGGGGAGGUCACCCUGUCACCGCUGGAGGAACACCUCAUUUCCAGGUCCUCUGCACGAGCCCGACUGUGAAAUGAACCAAGCAGGGACUGGUCGGACACUUCCUUCCUUUCCUCAUUGACGCUCCGGGCCCAGUGAUUGUUUCCCUGUUGCUCUGAUUGUGAACCGUCCUCCUCUUGCCAAAGCAAACAGCCUGGACUGGAGGAGGAGUUCCUCAGGCUUGUCUGCCAGCCUGAACAUGAACGCAAGCCGAGCAGACGACAGCCCGCGUUCCCGAGGGACUUGGGGCCCCGUGGGGCCUGGCCCUCAGGAGCAGGUCCUUUCGUGAUGCUGGCGCCCGGGAGUGAGCACCAUGCCCAUCACCCAGGACAAUGCCGGGCUGCACCUGCCCCUCCUCUACCAGUGGCUGCAGAACAGCCUGCGGGAGGGCGGGGAUGGCCCGGAGCAGCGCCUCUGCCAGGCAGCCAUCCAGAAACUGCAGGAGUACAUCAGGCUGAACUUCGCUGUGGAUGAGAGCUCCAUCCAGCCCGACCGCAGCCCCCCUGGGAUGGAGAUCUGCACGGUGUACCUCACCAAGGAGCUGGAGGACGCGGAGACUGUGGGCCUCAGUUUUGGGAACAUCCCUGUUUUUGGGGACUAUGGGGAAAAGCGCAGAGGGGGCAAGAAGAGAAAAACCCACCAGGGCCCUGUGCUAGAUGUGGGCUGCAUCUGGGUGACGGAGCUGAGGAAGAACAGCCCGGCCGGGAAGAGCGGGAAGGUGCGCCUGCGGGACGAGAUCCUCUCGCUGAAUGGGCAGCUGAUGGUCGGAGUUGAUGUCAGUGGGGCCAGUUACUUGGCUGAGCAGUGCUGGAAUGGCGGCUUCAUCUACCUGAUCAUGCUACGCCGCUUCAAGCACCAAGUCCAUUCUUACAACGGCAACAGUAGCAACAGCUCCGAACCAGGAGAGACGCCUACCUUGGAGCUGGGGGACCAAACAGUGAAAAAGGGGAAGAGAGCAAGAAAGUUUGGGGUCAUUGCCAGGCCUUCUACCCACAAAGCUGCUGAAGACUCCAAGAGCAGUACUGGCUGUGAGUUGGACCACGACCCCGUGUCUGAGCUGGACAAUGGCCUAGACCCUGAACUGGGAAACGGUCAUGCUUUUGAGCUAGAAAAUGGCCCGGAUUUGCUCAAGGAGGUGGCUGGAUCCCAUCUAGAUAGGUCGGAAUUGGACAGAGGGACAGAGCCUAGAAUUCCAAAGACAGAUGCACCUCUGCCCACAAGCAAUGACAAACGCCGCUUCUCAAAAUCUGGGAAGACAGACUUCCAAUCCAGCGACUGCCUGGCACGGGAGGAAGUUGGCCGGAUAUGGAAGAUGGAGCUGCUUAAAGAAUCGGAUGGGCUGGGAAUUCAGGUUAGUGGAGGCCGAGGAUCAAAGCGCUCACCUCACGCUAUCGUUGUCACCCAAGUGAAGGAAGGCGGUGCCGCUCACAGGGAUGGCAGACUGUCCUUAGGAGAUGAGCUGCUGGUAAUCAAUGGUCACUUACUAGUCGGGCUGUCCCACGAGGAAGCUGUGGCCAUUCUUCGCUCAGCCACUGGUGUGGUUCAGCUGGUGGUGGCCAGCAAGGAGAACUCUGCCGAGGACCUCCUGAGGCUGACGUCUAAGAGUCUGCCUGACCUGACCAGCUCCACAGAGGACGUUUCCUCUUGGACUGACAACGAAGACCAGGAGCCAGACGAGGACGAAGGCACCGGCUCAUCUUCUGUCCAGAGAGCAAUGCCUGGAACAGAGGAGCCCCACGAUGCAUGCGGCCCCGAGGAAUCCAAGGGGAACUUGGAAAGUCCCAAACAAGGCAGCAGUAAGAUGAAGCUCAAGAGUCGCCUGUCAGGUGGUGUACACCGUCUCGAGUCUGUUGAAGAAUAUAAUGAACUGAUGGUGCGACAUGGUGACCCCCGGGCCAGGAUGUUAGAGGUCUCCCGAGAUGGCCGGAAGCAUUCCCUUCCCCAGCUCCUGGACUCGACGGGCACAUCACAGGAAUACCACAUUGUGAAGAAGUCCACCCGCUCACUAAGCACAACUCAGGUGGAAUCUCCCUGGAGACUCAUUCGGCCGUCAGUCAUCUCCAUCAUUGGGCUGUACAAAGAAAAGGGCAAGGGCCUUGGCUUUAGCAUUGCUGGAGGUCGAGACUGCAUUCGAGGACAGAUGGGGAUUUUUGUCAAGACCAUUUUCCCAAAUGGAUCGGCUGCAGAGGAUGGAAGACUUAAAGAAGGGGAUGAAAUCCUAGAUGUAAAUGGAAUACCAAUCAAGGGCUUGACAUUUCAAGAAGCCAUUCAUACCUUUAAGCAAAUCCGGAGUGGAUUGUUUGUCUUAACGGUACGCACCAAGUUACUGAGCCCAAGUCUCACACCCUGCUCCACACCCACACACAUGAGCAGAUCAAGCUCCCCAAACUUCAAUGCCAGCGGGGGAACCUCAGCGGUGGGCAGUGAUGAAGGCAGUUCGUCCCUGGGUCGGAAGGCCCCCGGACCCAAGGACAGAAUCGUCAUGGAAGUAACCCUCAACAAAGAGCCCAGAGUUGGCUUAGGCAUCGGUGCCUGCUGCUUGGCCUUAGAAAACAGCCCUCCAGGCAUCUACAUUCACAGCCUUGCCCCAGGAUCAGUGGCCAAGAUGGAGAGCAAUCUGAGCCGCGGAGAUCAAAUCCUGGAAGUGAACUCUGUCAACGUCCGCCAUGCUGCUUUAAGCAAAGUCCACUCCAUCUUGAGCAAAUGCCCCCCAGGACCCGUUCGCCUGGUCAUCGGCCGGCACCCUAAUCCAAAGGUUUCCGAGCAGGAAAUGGAUGAAGUGAUAGCACGCAGCACUUAUCAGGAGAGCAAAGAGGCCAGUUCCUCUCCUGGCUUAGGUACCCCCUUGAAGAGUCCUUCUUUUGCAAAAAAGGACUCCCUGAUUUCUGAAUCUGAACUCUCCCAGUACUUUGCUCACGAUGCCCCAGGCCCACUGUCUGACUUCAUGGUGGCCGGCUCUGAAGACGAGGACCCUCCAGGGAGCGGUGGCAGCAGCAGCUCCGCGGAGCCCCCCGGCACAUCCCCAGCUCACAAGGAGCCAGGAAAAGCCAGGGCCAACAGCCUUGUGUCUCUUGGAAGCCAACGGACCUCUGGGCUCUUCCACAAGCAGGUGACAAUUGCCAGGCAAGCCAGUCUUCCUGGGAGCCCAGAGGUCCUCCGGAACCCCCUCCUCCGCCAGAGGAGGGUGGGCUGCUCUGAUGACGACGCCAGCGAUGAGGAAGAGUUUGAUGGCGAAGGCGACUGUAUUUCCCUCCCAGGGACCCUCUCAGGUCCCAGCAGGCCGCUGACAGAGGACGACUCUACACGUGUUUCAACAGCCUCUUCCAAGGUCACAGGUAUCAACCGAGAGGAACACCCCAAGAAAACACUGGUCAGCAAGGCCUCCUCGGUGCCUCUCCUCGGCAGCUCGCUGGACUUCCAGGAGAGCCUCCCAGGAGGCGUGCGGGACCCCCUUUCCCAUGCACCCAGCCUGCUGGUCCCAUCAGAGGCCCCCAAGGGUAGCCCUGGCUGCUCAGGGAGGAAGGAACUGUCAGGAUCGAGGAGCUCGCCCAAACUGGAGUGCAGAGCUGGGACAGGCACCCAGGGUCCAGCAAGCACAGACAGCUCCAGUUCCCUCCAGCAGAAUGACAGCCUGGGGUCCAGGCACAAGCCCGUGACCAGGGUCAGCCCACACCGCAAGAGGCCUGAGGCUGAGGCCAGGCCUAGCAGCACAGAGGCAGCACAGCUGACCGAUGGAGCCAGUGACCCAUGUGGUGCUGACUUGAAAGUCCAGGAUAGUUCCAACCAAGUGACUGUGACUGGUUAUCGGCCAGGAGGAGCUGUGGAGAAGGAAUCUCUGGACAAGCUGUCCGUCGGGGAUGGACGAGUCCCCACUGACUGUGGACCAGGUGGUGCCCUGCCCCACCCGGCUGCCAGCCACCCUACAGAGAACCCACCUGAAGCAACAUCCAAGCAGGGGCAGCAACCCGGGACAGGACCAGAUGGCUCCCCAGACCCUCUCCCUUCCCCAGGGCAGAAGGGGGCAGCUCACCCUGACCCCAGCCAGACCUCAGUGGACACAGGGCCAGCGAGGCGACCUGAGGACCCUGGAGGGCCAGAGUCUCCCAGGAUCCCCAAGUCUGAGGACAGCACAUCCCCAGGGACAAUGGCAACGGCUCAUCCUGACCUCCAUGAGAUUAGAGCAGCUCCCAACGCCAGCUUGCCCUGCGCCGCCUGGAAGGCAACGACCCCCAGGGGAGCAGGACCCACGGCUGAGGGGGCACCUCUGACUGGUGCUGGGCUGCCACGAGACCUCACGUCCGGGGAGGAGAGCCAAGAGGGGGUUCCGGGUCACCAUGCCAAGGCUCUGCAAACCUCAGUGGUCCUUGUCCCUGGAAACUUCCGGGGAUCGGCUCUGCCCCAGGGAACAGACUCGGGGUCUGCCAGUCCCCUGCAGGCUGGCCCGACCCUGCCAUUGCCAAGUGACAAGGCCCAGGAGGCAUGUGGGGGUCCCUUGGGGCCUGGCUGCCUCGGAGGGAACGGGCGCUGCCCAGUGACGGACAUCGACAGGCUCCUGGUGGAACCAGGUGCCUCUGGAGCAAGACUUCCCUCCCUCGGGAAAGGGGACCAGCUGAGCAGAGAGCAGGCUGCCCAGGGGCCACAGCCAGCCUCAGGGAGUCCGAGCCCUGCCCCAAGGAGGCCCGGGGCGGCUGGUCCAGCCCCUCCCCCUCAGUGGGCCGGCCAGCCUUCGGUUUUGGAUUCCAUCAAUCCUGACAGACAUUUUACUGUGAACAAAAGCUUUCUGAGCAACUACUCUAGGAAUCUCAGCAGUCUCCACGAAGACAGCACCUCACUGUCGGGCCUGGGCGAUAGCACCGAGCCAUCCGUGUCCCUCUCAUCCAUGUACGGGGAUGUGGAGGACUCGUCCUCAGACCCCGAGUCACUCACUGAAGCCCCGCGAGCUCCCACCCGGGACAGCUGGUCCCCUCCUCGUCCUCGUCCUCCUGAGCCUUCUCACAAGGGAGACAUGACGGAGUCCGAGGAGGAGCAAGUGGAAAUCUGUUCCACGGAUGGCUCCCCCGAUAGACCCUUAGCCACUGCCCUUGCUCCUGCCCGGGUGGCUGCCUGCCCUGCCCUCUCCACAGCCCUGCCACCAAAGGACGGAGCCCUGAGCCAGGUGGGGGCAGAAGCGAGCCACACAGCCCGCUUCGUGCCAGGCACCUCCACCCCUCCGCAGCCACCUCCUCCUCUGUCAGGCGUGAGUUCUCAGGAGGCAGAGCCACCUGAGGAUGCAAGGGUCUCCCAAGACCACAGGUCCCCGAGUGAAGAGGACUCUGGGGAAGCCACCCAGCCUCCUCCAGGUACCAGGCCUGUCCCCAGCUCCCCAGGCACCCUCGGUUCUCCUAACAUGGUGAAUGGUUUGGAGUGUGACCGUUUGGAUGACAAGACGCCAGCUGAGAAACAAGAAACAGAUGUUCAUACUGCUGAAAACCAAGCCUCCUUCAGGGCAUGUGUCCCCAAGAACGGAGACUCAGCUCUGGGAAACCUGCAUAUCUCCAGAGGUCAAGGCCCAGAGGACUUGCUGCCAAAGCCAAAAGCCAUCUCCCGGCGGCCCCUCAUGGCCUGGUUUAAAGAGAUAAAUAAGAACAACCACGGGACACAUCCACAGAGCAAAACUGAAACGGAACAGUCCACGCUGCUGGCCGGAAGCCCCGACCCCAAGGCCCAGGUGCCGAGCUUCAGCCACAAGAAGGGGGUGCCUGUGCCAGAUAGUCCCCCUCCUCGGCUGGACCUUGAGAAUAAAGACUUGCCUGGGAAGAAUUCUGUGGAAACCCUUUUGAGUAACUGUCAGAAACCCAAAGCUGGUCCUAAGCUGAAGAGACUGAGCAUCAGAAGCAAAGGCAAAGUCAGCUCCGAGGCCCCGGCUGUUCACGCGGGGAAGUCAGGCAGCUCAGAGCACAAGAAAGCCCUCGUCUCACCCCAGGCCUCCCACAAAAUGCUUUCCAAGGUGGCGUCGCACCGGUGCCACACAGCCGGCCACGAGGAACCAGACACGACUGCCGCAGCUGCCCCCCAGCCUCCCCAGAGUGUGGAGGGCAAGGUGCCCCCUGGGACCCCGGGCUCCCUGAAGCCCUCGGCAUCUGACUCAAGCAUCAGGAUGUUUGUUUCGCCCGUGACCACCCCCAAGACCCUUCCUGAGCAAGGUGGGUGCGGUAGGCUCCACCCGGCGGUGCCUGCAGAACCCAACCGAGGCUGCCUGGCUGCCCCCAGCCCUCCCAAGUGUGGUCCAGAGAGCAGGGCUCCCCUGGCAUCCCCGGGGCCAGCAAGUCCCACGGCACCGAGGGGUGGCACGUCCAUGGUGGCCAGCAAGCGGGAGGUCCCGACUCCCGGGCAGGGUGAGCGGUUCCCGUCCAGCCAAACAGACUCCACAGCAGAAGCAGCCCUGCCCGGGGUGACUGGUGACAAAAGAAGCAAAAUAAUUGCCGGUGGGCCUCCCGAAAGAACCAAGCAGCUGAAAAUCAUUGAGAUCCCUUCUGAAAGGAUGCCAAAGAGCACAUGUGGUGACAUGCCGGCUGAAGGGGACACGCAGGGUGGGCUCUUGUCCCAGAGCAGCCAUCAGGAGGAGAGUGAGGUUGGGCUCUGUCACCAGCCAGGGGAGUCCUCCCCAAACCACCCGUCCUCACUCCCAACCCGGGUCUCCCAGGUGGAGCUAGAAGUGCAGCAGCGAUCCAUCAGCCUGGCAAGACUCUCCUCCUCUUCCUCCCCGCAGCUGCUGGCUAGAAAGGCCGAUCCCGGCCAAAUGGCCGAUGCCCUGGGGGUGCCCAGGAACAGCCCACCAGUGGGCCCAGUGCUGGACGAUCAUCCCUACUUCACGCCAAGGCCAGCGACCAGGACCUACUCCAUGCCGGCCCAGUUCUCCAGUCUUUUUGGCCGGGAGGGCCAUGCCCCACAGAGCCCAGGGCGCGCCCCUCGGGAUGCCCAGAUCCCUGGCACCAGCGGGGGCCUCCUCGAGGCCAAGGCGUCCAGAGGCGCCAUUCUCAGCCUGGCUAACGGGCAGGGUAUAUACAGCGUAAAGCCCCUGCUGGAGACUUCGGGGAACCUUCCAACAACAGACGAAGCAGAUGUCCUGUCCACCCAGGAAACCAGCUGCCAGCUCACAGACAGAGUCACAGUCACCAGGAGACAUCACUACUCCCCACAGAACUGGCCCCAUGAAUCCACCUCCUUUUUCUCUGUGAAGCAGAGGAUCAAGUCUUUCGAGAACCUAGCCCACUCUGACCGGCCCGCAGCCAAGGCCGGGGCCGCCUCCUCCUUGUCAGUGAGCUCCAAGCCUCCCAUUGGGAGACGGUCGUCCGGCAGCGUGGUUUCUGGGACCCUUGGCCACUUCAGUGACCCAACGGCGAGGUCACUGAGACGCAGCCUGAGUUCCUGCAGCGAAAGCCAAGGUGAAGCCGCCACCGUCGUCCCCCCGAUGACCAAGUCCCCGUCCAGCAUGACACUGACUGUCUCCCGGCAGACCCCAGCAGAUGCCCGUAGCAAGGGCACUGACUCAGACCCCAGGAGACCACCUGGUCCUUCGGGCAUCCCUGCCCCAACCGCAACCCCCGCCUCUCCCGCCAAGAGGAACAAGUCCUCGGUGCGUCACACGCAGGCCUCACCUCUGUCCCGCUCGAAGCUCCAGGAGCUGAGAGCCCUGAGCAUGCCCGACUUGGACAAGCUCUGCAGCGAGGACUUCUCAGCGGGGCCACCCGCUGUGCUCUUCAAAACCGAGCUGGAAAUCGUCCCCCGGAGGUCACUUGGCUCCCCUGCUGGGGGCCUCACUGGGUCCACUGCCCUUUCAUGCCCCAGGGAUGGGGCAGAAAGGGCCUAUCCCAAAGCCACUGACCCCAGAGCAUCCAGUUUAACCCAUGAUGUGGGUGAGACCACCCAGGAUCUGCCUUCCGGAAGAAGUUGGUCAGUUAAUCUGCAGCAGCUCCUGGUCUCAGCAGGGGAUCAGCAAAGACUGCAGUCCGUUCUGUCGUCAGUGGGGUCCAGGUCUACGGUCCUCUCUCUCAUUCAGGAAGCGAAAGCACAAUCAGAGGUCCACAGGGUGUUUUCUCAGGGGGCGGCUUCUCAGGUAGGGACUGUGAGCCGAGGGGAUUUCCUGCUGUCCCUCAACGGUGCCUCACUGGCUGGCUUAGCCCACGGGGAUGUGCUGAAGGCUCUGCACCAGGCACAGCUGCACAAAGAGGUCCUCCUGGUCAUCAAGAAAGGGAGUGAUCAGCCCAGGCCCUCCAGCCGGCAGGAGCCUCCCACAGCCAACGGGAAGGGCUUGGUGUCCAGAAAGACCAGCCCCCUGGAGCCUGGAACAGGGAGAAGCAUGGCUGUGCACGAGGCUCUGUGUGUUGAAGUGCUGAAGACCUCGGCCGGGCUGGGCCUGAGUCUGGAUGGAGGGAAGUCAUCCAUGUCUGGAGAUGGGCCCCUGCUCGUUAAAAGAGUGUACAAAGGUGGUGCAGCUGAGCAAGCAGGAACAAUAGAAGCUGGAGAUGAAAUUCUUGCCAUUAACGGGAAAUCUCUAGUGGGGCUGAUGCAUUUCGAUGCCUGGAAUAUCAUGAAGGCUGUCCCAGAGGGACCUGUGCAGUUAGUAAUUAGAAAGCACAGGAAUUCUUCAUGCAGCAAGCACUGGUAGUGACACUAACAGUGCUUGUUACUUUUUUUUUUAAACCUGGAAUCUCCUUCUCUCAAUUUCUUUCUUUGGCAAAUCAGAAUGACUUCUCUAAACAGUGAGUUCCUGAAACAACAGAGAAGCACUGGUGCGGGCAAGACUACCAAACUCCCCAGCGCUUUUGCUCACGCAUGAAGCAGCAGCCAUGGAGCUGAGCUCCUAAGCCUUCUGCCUGGAUCACUUAGGCUGGGAGGGCCCACUUCGUCCCAGUGCCUGUCCCCUCCUGUCUGCCAUGUUUCCUGAUGGGGACACAAGAUGUGGCAUGCCCUUCUUUACUUGAAACAUUUAGUGAGACCUCCAAAUCCUUCCUCCCACCUCUCCCAACAUAAUCAGUCCUGGCAAUUAGUGACCCAACUAACAAAGUCUGAGGGCAACACAACUGUCACAACUAAAAAGACUAGUUUUAUAUAAUUUUGUAAGUAAAUGACAGAAUGCUUUUAGGCACAUUCAGUGGAAGGAGCUAAGGGUCUGUUAUCCUGAAAAGAAAA
rnacentral:lncRNA from 1 species